ACAACCCCGGCAACCAGUCCUCACUCCCCACAUGCUUUUCAUCACCCACUCGCACACAACAUCUGGGCGUCUGCUUCCAUCCUACCAUUUCAGCAGGAUCAGAGCAGCCAGCAUCUGCAUGAGGAGAACUGAAGUCCAAGCAACUGCUGGGAGUGUGAUGACUCCAAGAAGCAGGGCCAAGAACAGGGACUGAAAGAGGUACAUGGACUGGCCCUCGCUCACCAGGAGAUUAACCCUUCAGGCCGCCGAGUGAAAGGGGACCACGCAGGCCCUGACAGGAGCCCAGGAUGCAGGGGAAUUCAAAACCCAUCCACCUGCUCAGGGAAGACUUUGCUGAAGACUGCCACGCUGUGGCCUCGUCCUCCUGGGGACAUGUGUGGCAAGCGUUUUCCCGCCCACUGAUGUGGCACUGGCUCAUUUAUGACUUCCUUAUGACCUCAUUUUUCACUGUCAUGCUUGUACUGUUGUUUAACAACUUUGUGUAACGGUCUCUUCUCACUCCAAAUAAACAGCAGCACCUGGAAGGCAA